AUGCCUGUUUUGAAACAUAACUUGCCUGUUGAGAUUCUUGGGGACCCUCCUCCACCCAAGGGUGAUCCCGUGUUUGAGCUUAAAAAAUUACCCGACACUCUGAAAUAUGCUUAUCUUGAUGAAAAUAAGAUAUAUCAUGUUAUUAUUAGUGCUAACCUUUCAGAGAAUGAAGAAAAGAAAUUAUUGAAAACUCUGAAGAAGCACCGUGCUGCUAUUGGAUAUACUCUUGAUGAUCUUAAGGGCAUUAGUCCCACUCUAUGUCAGCAUAAAAUUAAUAUGGAGCCUGAUGCUAAACCAGUUGUUGAUCACCAACGACGGUUAAAUCCUGAGAUGAAAGAAGUGGUAAGAAAUGAAAUACUAAAGCUUCUGGAGGCAGGUAUAAUUUAUCCUAUUGCUGAUAGUAGAUGGGUAAGUCCUGUUCAUUGUGUCCUUAAGAAGGGAGGUAUUACUGUUGUUCCUAAUGAAAAGAAUGAAUUGAUUCCACGAACAAUUGUUACAGGUUAUAGAAUGGUUAUUGAUUUUAGAAAGUCGAAUAAAGCUACUAGGAAAGAUCAUUAUACUCUACCUUUUAUUGAUCAAAUGCUAGAAAGACUACCAAAACAUAUACACCUUUGCUUUCUAGAUGGUUAUUCUGGUUUCUCUCAAAUACUUGUGUCAAAAGAGGAUCAAGAAAACACUACUUUUACUUGCCCUUUUGGUAAUUUUGCUUAUAGACGUAUGCCUUUUGGUUUAUGCAAUGCUCCUGCUAUCUUUCAAAGAUGUAUGACUGAUAUAUUCUCUGACUUUUGUGAAAAGAUUGUCGAGGUUUUCAUGGAUGAUUUCUCCCUUUACGAAACUUCUUUUGAUGAUUGCUUAAGCAACCUUGAUCGAGUUUUGCAGAGAUGUGAAUAA
rnacentral:rRNA from 1 species